AAAGAAAUUAAUUGAAUGAAAUUAUUUAUUUUGAAUUUAAUUCGGCCACUGCAUUGAAAUAAGGAAAAUUAAGUAAAAAAAAUACAUUAUCCUACAAAAUCACUAAGCCAUCUAACAUUACCAUUUGUCAUUCAAUUGUUGCAUACCAUGGACAGUGCCUCGGUUUUGCAUUUCCUAAAACCUGAUACCAGGCCACUAAACCCUCUGCGGGUGAGAAAAACAAUCAUUUCCUAAAUAAAACUAAAGAACAGAAAAAUGUAAACCCUAAAACUUAAUUUCCCUUGCCCUCUCUUUCUGUUGCUGCGUCACCGGAUGUCUCUUCUACAAUAGACCUGGUAAAUAAACCCAUUGUCCUCAUCUUAAUUUUUCCUCCCAGAUGUUGACCCUUUCUCUUCUCCGGACUCAACCCACCACAACCACCGAUAUUCUUUCACUAAGCACUUCUCCCUUGAUCCCUUAGUGCUAUGGGUUCAACCUCUAAUGGAGCUUCUUCCACCCAGAAAGUCGAAGAGUCGCUUCUUCUUCCCCAGGCAGCCAUCGCAUGCGCUGCUCCGUUGGCUUCUCGCGCUUUUUUAUGACGAUUCUUGAGUCCUCUUCGAUGAUUACACUGCCAAACCCCAUUUCUUCUGCAAAGAUAACUCCUUAAAGGCAUGCAUACGCUUCGGAGGUUGUCGGAUCUCAAACGUUGUUGAUCGAAGGUAAUGUUGCAAUAUUGAAAAAUAUGGCUAACUGACUCAUCUUGUUCUCCACAUAGCGGGCAUAGGGCAACAUAUCUCAGCCUACGGGCUUUUAAGUUACUUAAUGUAGGCAAGAAAUUACUUGUAAUUAUUCUCCAUAGAUUGAGUCGUACCUUGCUGGGAAUCUUUAGGCUCCAAGUUUUUGUAUAAUAACUUCUAGUUAGUUCCAGAUAUGUUGUUAGUUCAUUUCCCAGCAGGUUUAAUUCCUCUAUGACACAUCGUCUGUAACCAUUUUUUGUCAUGUAUUCCCUCUACCUGUCACCUCGCCAAACCUUUGUAUCUGGUUGUAAGGUGUUCCCUAAGGGGAUGGAGCCAAUUAUCUUUGCUUGUUCUUCAGGGAAAA